GCCAGGGAGGCAGGAGCCCCAGGAGUGAGGAUGCGGAGAGGAGCCUAGCAAUGGAGGAUAAGAAGGAACACUCUCUGCCAUCGCUUCCCAAAGAAGCCACACCACCUACUUCAGUGAGAACAGCAAAAUCUUGUGGGAAGAGGGAGGUGUCUACAAGCUAAUACUACUUUUAUCACCGGUUUGUGGCCCUGGGCUCAGUGGAUUGAAGAAUACCUGAAACCGCCUCUAUUCUGGUCCACUUCUGGGUCUGCCACCGAGCACACUGGAGAGCCCCCCCAUGCUCCUGUGAGACGCCCCAUCCACCCCACCAGCUCAGCGUUCACGAGUUGUGCCUGGGACCUCAAGGAUGCUGAUUCUACACAAGAGGCCUCCAUUUGGGCAAUUCUUGAUUUAGGAGAUUAACAGAUCCCCAAAUACAUGGAAUUCAGUUCUCUUCUGCUUCUUCCAGAAGACCAUCUUCCUUUGAGUGUUGCUGCAGGAAAGACUUACUGCAACUGGAAGCGCAAAGGCUGUAAACGCCAGACUGACUUUGAAUUUGGAUAUUCAGCUCGGUGUUGCAAGCCAGAGUGGGACAGAACUUGUGAUCCAGAAAGGGAUUAGAAAUGGUGCUCCAAUAUCAGUGGCACCUUGAAGGAGGAGGAAGAGAAGGAAGGCCCCAUUGCGCUGGAUCCCGUCCAACUGUAUAGUAAUAGAAAGUUCCUUCUCAAUGGAGUAUACAUAAGGGCAAACAAGCCCAGGAGAGGAAAGGUCCUUGAAAGGAAAAGUGACUUGGCCAAAGUCAUACAACAAUAAAUGCAGAUCACAAAUCCAGAUCUUGUGAUCCUGCCUACGUUCUGUGCUGCUGUUAUGGCUUUCCAUUAGAAUACCAUUAUUUUUUAACACAAUCUUCCCUUAUUUUACAAUGAAAGAAAGUGAAGAACUAAAACACAUUUAAAAAAAAAAAAAAAAGGUUGGUCAUUCUGAAUUCCUGUUAAUAAAAUAAAAACAAAAACAAAACAAACAAAUUACAAUGAUGCAUCCUAUUUGAUGGAUGAAAACUUUCGUUGAUUUCAUCCACAUUCUUUGGCGAGGCAAAGAAGACAUUUUAGCUUAUUUGUUUUUGCUUACAGUUUUGUGGUGCAUGUCUACACUAGCAUGUCUACACUUUUUUUUUUUUUUUAAAUUAGUCUGCCUGUUUCUUAGACUCGUAAGAGGAAAAUGUAAAAUAUGAUGCUACGUGUUACAGAAAUGUCUGUUCACUGGGAGAGAUUCUUCCUAGCCUGCUUCAGUUUUAGUUUAGCGUGUGCCCUGUAGCAUGAAGAUUUAUAGCCUUCCCAAAAAAAUGAAGAUACAGUUGUUUAAUUCUCCCCUUCCUUUCCCUCAUUGGAGAUAUCGGUUCUAGUCUAGGUCCUGCCGCCUUUCUUGACUUUCCUCAGGCAAAUCAUUUCACCUUUCUGUUCCUUGAUUUCCUGUUCUGUUAUUAUCCUGACCUUAGGUUAAAGCCUUGAGGACCUACAAAUCAAAUAUACAAUUUAAGAUCUAGACAGUAUUGGAUUUACAAUAUUAAGAAUUAAAAUAUGCUUUAACUGUAGAUGUUCACGCCAUCCAUCUAAAUGUCCAGUUCUUUGGUAAUGCUGAACAUCUCUUGCCCCAGUGAUGUAUUGUGGCUCUAUGUUCCAUGGUCUAAUUGUAUACUAUGUAAGAAUAAUUUUUUGUUUGUAAUCGGUGAAAGUGAACUGUUACUUUCCAGAAAUCUUAGGGAUUGAAGGUGACACGGGGUAGAGAGGCAGCUUUGCAUUUCAACUGAUGGGUGAAAUUGUGUGUUUACAGUUAGCAUUCGCAUUAAAACAUCCAAUUAGCUUUUGCACUGUUUCCAUUAGUAGUGCUAAAUGUGAACAGAUGUACAUGAGAAAUUAAUGUUUCUGUAAGAAAAAGAAAACUGUAACCAGAUAUGUCUAAACAGCCCAUGUCAGCUAUGUCAUAAAUACCCCCUUGUUAUUCUCAUUUUGUUGAAUGAAUAUUAAUAAUACAUUUUAAAUAAUACCUAUCAUAAUAUAGCAUGAGUGGGGAAUAGGAACACCUCUCUAACUAAUUAGAGCUGUUGAAUGACAUUGGGAAAGGAUUCUGGGUUGAAUCACUGUUCCUUGGACGGGAUUGAAUUAGCAUAGAUUUAAUGCCAAUGAUAAUUCUACGCAAUUGUGAGAUCAAUAGUUUAAUGCAUCUGGCAGAGAGACAGAGAUUUUCUUUCUCUUACAGCACUGAAUAAACCCCUAUAAUCCUUUUCCUUUAGUGCUCACGUCUAUCCAGGCUUCAGUUUAAUAAAAGGCCAGAGGAUUCAGGAUCCUGCUGAGCUUCUGUGGCUCAAACGCAGAGAGAACGAGAUGUUAUCUCAGGGUGGUUGUGGUUCAGAAUCAUUAAAAAGAUGAAUGGGUGGAUUGGAAGGCUAUGUUUAUAUUUCCAAUUGCUUAUAUACUGCAGAAGACACCCUUCUUAACAGUAAAGUGUAUAUGCUUUCUUUAAUCCAGUAGCCCAAGAACUAAGAGGACAAAAGAGAACCUGGAGCAAUCACUACUUUGGAGUUUUAUUUUUACAACAUUUUGCAUAUGUUUGUAUUAAUUUGUAGUAGAGCUGGACCAAAUCUGAAAAAUUCCAUUCCUUUUUAGCCAGGGCAGGGUAGGAGCAGUUGAAAACUUCCUGAGGGUUGUGCUUUCCAGUCCAGUACAAGUUUUAGUGAUCCUACAAACCCCAGGAAUUAGGCUACAUUUCCCUGAGCACCAUCCACAGAUACUUUAUUUCAUAUCUACCUACCAAUAGGAAAAAGAGGUAGUUAGCUUUGUAUUUUUAAUUGGUGAGCCUAUAAGGUGCUGCCUUGACCUGCCUUCUGCCUAACUAUCCACAGGUAGAAACAGAGCACUGCUGGAGUUAGAUGGAUGGAUGUGUGUGUCUGUAUACAGAGCUUUCUUUACGGAUGCCCCUUAAACCGGCUCAUGCAGUUGUGAUCUUCUUGGUUUCACUAUAUUCAAUAAACCUAUUUGCAUGGAUUUUCCACAGACCUGGUCUUUAAUCUCUGAAGUAGCCAUGAACCUGACCUUGAACAGUAACCUCAGCCAGAGAGGAUUUCUGCUUGGCCCAUUUUCUGCUUUAAAUGUGGAAUAUAUCUUGUUUCUGUCUUUACUUAU